rnacentral:lncRNA from 1 species
GUGGAAUUCUAGCGCCUUUCUUUUUUUCUUCUGCUUCCUUACCAGGAAGUUAGAAGUUUUACUCUGCCACAUCCUCUCCUUCCGUGGUGCUUUGUUAUAAGACCCAAAGGGAGUAGGACAAGCAACAAUGCACUGAAACUUCUAAAACUGUGUGUUAAAAUAAUUUUUUUCUCUUUAGAAGUUAGUUGUCACAUAUAUUCAUUAUAGCGAUGAAAACCUAAUAUACAUAGUAUUAAGAAGCCUUCAUUUCUUCGCAUGCAGGGGAUUACAACCUGAAACAAAUUACUUGUAAAAUGUGUUUAAAGACCAAUCAAACUCUUUGAGGUAUGAAACGACAGAAGGUUGUGUUCCGUAAAUCGAUAUGAAGAUUCCUCAAGGAGAAACUGAAAGUCCGCCUGACAUUUGCAAAGGAUCAGAGAUCCAUUCAGUGAAAGUUCUAGAAGAAGCACCAGAAUCUCCCGGUUCAUGGUCCACGUUAAGCAGAUGA